UGCUAUUGUAUUGAUUAUGGUUUCACUGUUGGGAUACUUUUAAUUAAGGAAGUAAAUCAAACAAUCUUCGUUUAAUAUAAGGUAGAGAGCGAUAAAAUAUAAACAUUUGAUGACUUUUUGAUGAUUUUUGAACAGUAACAUUCCGAUACUUAAAUAAUAUCUUAACUGAAGUAAAACAAGCUAAAUAAGUUCGGUUUGUAAACGAUCAUUCAAUCAUGAUUAAUGAAGGAGACAAUCAUAACAGCCAACAGUUUGCAUCGAAUGACUUAAUCGCAGUCCUGUAUCAGUUUUUAGUGUUCUGAAUAUCAUUUAUUUGACUAGUCAUGUUUUCGGAGUGAUCAAUUAUCUUGGUGAACUGUCAACAUUUGGCUAUUGAUAAACUAAUGAAGCUUAACCAUAUCUGCAUUUGGGCUUUAUCGGCUUUAUUACUGUGUGUGAAAAGUGAAAUUCACUUGAAUUUCCGAAUCAAUCUCCAGCCCUUUUCUUUUGCCUUACCUCGAUUUAAACUAAUCAGAAUCUCAGCUGAUAUUCUUCCAUCUCCACAUGAUGAUGAGCCACCUUCAAUUGUUACUUUUCCUGGAGUAACUAUAAGUGGACAAAACAACCACAAUGAACAGCAGGAAACAUCGUAUUAUCAUCAUCAAUCUCAAGUGUUUCAUCACAAUGACCAUAAGCCUCGCAUUGACUGGAAUGACCAAAAUGAUAACACGUUUUAAAUAAAGUGUUUUGCCCGUUAUAAGUGCAGAGACGUUAAAAACAAAAAGCCCAAUUGAGAAAUGUAAUCUCUUGUCUAUUGAUCUGAGAUCUGGAAUUUACUCAAACCCCAUCAAAAAAUAUUGUGUUCGUGGAGUUUCCCUUUCUUUUUCUCCCUUUACCCAUCUCCUAUCGAUUGAAACAAUCUUCGAAUCCAAUCUUCGAAUCCAAUGAAAAAUGAAUAAAAAUCGAUUUUAAUGUUAA